GUCCUCCUCGCUGGCCUCCAGAGCCUCCUUCACCAGGAACACCAACGAGGACUCCACGGUUUCACCGUCUUCAGUGACGGCACCCGUGUCAGCUCCUGCAGGGGAGAGAGAGUCGCUCAAGCUGAAAUAUUUGGACUGCAGUGAAUGAAGGAGCUCUGAAAUCUCGAGGAUACAGUUUAAAGAUUUCUGGUCAUCAGCAUCUUGUAGCCCAAGAACACACAUCACAGCAUCCACCAGGGGCUGGUACUCGUAAAUGAUCCGUCGAAACCCAUGCAGGAAAGGCAUGGCUCUGCUCCUCACAACAGUCGCUGCAAGUCAGACUCUGGAGCCACAGAGCAGGAACAACAGGAAAUCUGCCGGUACAGUGACUCGUACAAUCUUUGCAGACACACCUGCCGAGGUUCCCUGGCGAAGCAGACAAAUCUCUCCUCGCACUCUGGGGUUAAUUUGAACCUUUAGCACCAUGUGGUCAAAGAAGCACACUGCUUCUUGUCAAACAACAGUAACAGCAUGGUGCAUCCACUGUUUGGCCAUGACAAGAGUGUAUUUGAGGUGCACGAUCUCCUCCUAGGACCCCGGCGUAUAAUGAUGCAGGUUUUCGAGAACAUUUAUGCCCUUGUCACUCAAAAAGCGGUGUAUUUUUAGUGCCGUGCCUGGUUGGUUACCAGAAUGUACGUUUUAAGUGAUUCUGAACAAUCCCCUAAGCCGCUAUCCCCGGGGGGGAAUUGCACUACUUACCAGGACUUCAAUGGUGAGCUUGUUUGAGGGCUUUUCCUUUUUCUUUUUUGCUUAGUCAUCUGUCAGGCUUAAAAUAAUCAAACAAAAUCCCCACAAAGUCAUGAAAAUGUCACACUGAUGGAGAAAUGCAGCCCCUCUCGGUACUGUACGCUGUGAAACAACCCACUAGGAUUACAGGUCUUGAAGAAUAAUGGCAGGCAAAAAAACACCACUGUCUGUGAUGUGUGUUUUUCCUGCCAUGACUUGGUUCGGAGGGGAAAGAAGCAAAGAAGGGGAAACCCGCGGGGAGAUAACAGCCCUUCCAUUCCGACAUCCCUUAUGAGUAAAUUGGCUCGGUAUUAAAUUUAGGCCCCAUCUAUCAAUACAAAGAAUGGUAUCGGAAUUACUUUGUUGGCUACAAAUCGUUGGCAAUAGAUUGAGCCUCUCUCGAGACAAGGCCAUCAUUUAUCUGGUUCACAUUUCCUCCUGAGGUGAAAGGAAGCAAGACACAAUAAGACUUUUAUUGGUUCCCCGGGAGAUAGAUGUGACCCCCUAGAACCUCUGAUUACAAGAUUACCCCGAGUAAAGUAAGAAUCUAUUAAACAUUUAGACCUGUUGGUCCCUGUUGGAUUCCCUGUAUUUUUUUUAUCACACAGCUGCCGCGGCAGCUCCAGCGCGGGAGUCUCCUAACGCUGAGGAGAUUUACUUUGCCAAAAAAAUAUUGUUGGGGUACACAAAGCUGUGUAAUUUGUCCCAGGGGGGCGAUGCAUAAAGGAGAAGUUAAUUACCGCGGCUGCAAAGUACUUUAUUUUUGAGAAGGAGUGAAACAGGACACACACUCGGCUGCUGAAGAGGCUGCUGUGGUGAAAAGUGAUAGAAUACCAAUGGUGAAGGUGAAGGUGACCGUAGAGGCGGUGGAAUGAUAAAAGAGUGGCAUGACAUUGUGGUUUUAGCUGAAAUUAUCAGACUGGCAAGUCUGAGGCCCUAAUAUCCUUUUGUGCUGGCAGCAUAUUGCUGAGUGAAGAUUGUGGAGGGAAAUAAUCAGCCCUUUUUUAAAAGGUCAGGGGAAGUUAAGCACACCCAAAGUAGACCAUGACACAUCCCAGCUGAUAAGGAAUAACUGUCUGCGUCAGAGAGAAUAAAAAAAAAAUGAGUUCACCUCGUUCCACGUAUGCGAUCGUGAUUACUCAGCUGUCAGUCAAACGGCAAAGACACGCGCGUUCAACUGACGGGAACCUGAGGGGCAAACAGAACGACGCACUGAAGCACUCUAAGUUGAUAGCACUGUCACAUUUGUCUUCUAACGACUAAUAGAGCAAGGGUUCAAGCCCUAGUUGGAACAAGGGCCUUUCUGCAUGUUCUCCCCGUGUGUGCGUGCGUCGGCUUCCUCCCACAGUCCAAAAACAUGCAAUAUGGGGAUUAGGUAAAUUGGACACUUCUAAACUGACCAUAGGUGUGAGAGUGAAUGGUUGAAUGUCUGUUUGUCUCUAUAUGUGGCCCUGCGACCCAUCCUGUGGAGGAUAAAGCGGUAGAAAAUGGAUGCAGGGAAGUCACAGAAUGCAAUAAAAUCAAC